CACACCCUGGGCCAGGGUGGACUCCUGCUGCGUUCCCGCUGCCACCUGGGCCUUGCACCAGACCCAGACCACGGCCUGCAUCUCAGCCUGACCCUCCAAAACCACAGCAGGCCUCGUUCAGCUGACUUCUCCGGGGCACUGGAGCUUCGUGGCUCCAAGGCUCAGCGGGUUGGCCUACUGGGCCGUGUCUCCACCUCGACUUCUCAAAGCCUGGUCCGGUUGGAGGGAAGCGUGGACAACAGAGAGGAGAAAGUGAGGCUGUCUGUGUUCCGGGCCCCAAGCUGUCUGCAGGCCUCUGUGGCCCAUGAGGAGGGGGGCAGAGAGGAGAGUGUGGUGCUGCGGGCAUGUGCCCAUGGGCGGACAGCCGAGGCGGAGGUCCUGUUCCGGGAUGGCAGGCAGCCCUCCCAGCCGCUGGGACGCCUGACCCUGCAGGCUGCCAACCAGAGUCUCCUGCUGGCCGCGCGCGGCUGCCAGGGGGGCCUG
rnacentral:lncRNA from 1 species